GGGUUGUGAGGUUAAGCGACUAAGCGUACACGGUGGAUGCCCUGGCAGUCAGAGGCGAUGAAGGACGUGCUAAUCUGCGAAAAGCGCCGGCGAGGUGAUAUGAACCUUUGACCCGGCGAUGUCCGAAUGGGGAAACCCAGUGUGAUUCGUCACACUAUCGUUAACUGAAUACAUAGGUUAACGAGGCGAACCGGGGGAACUGAAACAUCUAAGUACCCCGAGGAAAAGAAAUCAACCGAGAUUCCCCCAGUAGCGGCGAGCGAACGGGGAGCAGCCCAGAGUCUGAAUCAGCUUGUGUGUUAGUGGAAGCGUCUGGAAAGUCGCACGGUACAGGGUGACAGUCCCGUACACGAAAGCACACAGGUUGUGAACUCGAAGAGUAGGGCGGGACACGUGGUAUCCUGUCUGAAUAUGGGGGGACCAUCCUCCAAGGCUAAAUACUCCUGACUGACCGAUAGUGAACCAGUACCGUGAGGGAAAGGCGAAAAGAACCCCGGCGAGGGGAGUGAAAAAGAACCUGAAACCGUGUACGUACAAGCAGUGGGAGCACCUUCGUGGUGUGACUGCGUACCUUUUGUAUAAUGGGUCAGCGACUUAUAUUCUGUAGCAAGGUUAACCGUAUAGGGGAGCCGAAGGGAAACCGAGUCUUAACUGGGCGUUAAGUUGCAGGGUAUAGACCCGAAACCCGGUGAUCUAGCCAUGGGCAGGUUGAAGGUUGGGUAACACUAACUGGAGGACCGAACCGACUAAUGUUGAAAAAUUAGCGGAUGACUUGUGGCUGGGGGUGAAAGGCCAAUCAAACCGGGAGAUAGCUGGUUCUCCCCGAAAGCUAUUUAGGUAGCGCCUCGUGAACUCAUCUUCGGGGGUAGAGCACUGUUUCGGCUAGGGGGCCAUCCCGGCUUACCAACCCGAUGCAAACUACGAAUACCGAAGAAUGUUAUCACGGGAGACACACGGCGGGUGCUAACGUCCGUCGUGAAGAGGGAAACAACCCAGACCGCCAGCUAAGGUCCCAAAGUCAUGGUUAAGUGGGAAACGAUGUGGGAAGGCACAGACAGCCAGGAUGUUGGCUUAGAAGCAGCCAUCAUUUAAAGAAAGCGUAAUAGCUCACUGGUCGAGUCGGCCUGCGCGGAAGAUGUAACGGGGCUAAACCAUGCACCGAAGCUGCGGCAGCGACACUAUGUGUUGUUGGGUAGGGGAGCGUUCUGUAAGCCGUUGAAGGUGUGCUGUGAGGCAUGCUGGAGGUAUCAGAAGUGCGAAUGCUGACAUAAGUAACGAUAAAGCGGGUGAAAAGCCCGCUCGCCGGAAGACCAAGGGUUCCUGUCCAACGUUAAUCGGGGCAGGGUGAGUCGACCCCUAAGGCGAGGCCGAAAGGCGUAGUCGAUGGGAAACAGGUUAAUAUUCCUGUACUUGGUGUUACUGCGAAGGGGGGACGGAGAAGGCUAUGUUAGCCGGGCGACGGUUGUCCCGGUUUAAGCAUGUAGGCGGAGGUUCCAGGUAAAUCCGGUACCUUAUUAACGCUGAGGUGUGAUGACGAGGCACUACGGUGCUGAAGUAACAAAUGCCCUGCUUCCAGGAAAAGCCUCUAAGCAUCAGGUAACAUCAAAUCGUACCCCAAACCGACACAGGUGGUCAGGUAGAGAAUACCAAGGCGCUUGAGAGAACUCGGGUGAAGGAACUAGGCAAAAUGGUGCCGUAACUUCGGGAGAAGGCACGCUGAUAUGUAGGUGAAGCCCCUGCGGGUGGAGCUGAAAUCAGUCGAAGAUACCAGCUGGCUGCAACUGUUUAUUAAAAACACAGCACUGUGCAAACACGAAAGUGGACGUAUACGGUGUGACGCCUGCCCGGUGCCGGAAGGUUAAUUGAUGGGGUUAGCGGUAACGCGAAGCUCUUGAUCGAAGCCCCGGUAAACGGCGGCCGUAACUAUAACGGUCCUAAGGUAGCGAAAUUCCUUGUCGGGUAAGUUCCGACCUGCACGAAUGGCGUAAUGAUGGCCAGGCUGUCUCCACCCGAGACUCAGUGAAAUUGAACUCGCUGUGAAGAUGCAGUGUACCCGCGGCAAGACGGAAAGACCCCGUGAACCUUUACUAUAGCUUGACACUGAACACUGGUCCUUGAUGUGUAGGAUAGGUGGGAGGCUUUGAAGUGUGGACGCCAGUCUGCAUGGAGCCGUCCUUGAAAUACCACCCUUUAAUGGCUGGUGUUCUAACGUAGACCCGUAAUCCGGGUUGCGGACAGUGUCUGGUGGGUAGUUUGACUGGGGCGGUCUCCUCCCAAAGAGUAACGGAGGAGCACGAAGGUUAGCUAAUCCUGGUCGGACAUCAGGAGGUUAGUGCAAUGGCAUAAGCUAGCUUGACUGCGAGAGUGACGGCUCGAGCAGGUGCGAAAGCAGGUCAUAGUGAUCCGGUGGUUCUGAAUGGAAGGGCCAUCGCUCAACGGAUAAAAGGUACUCCGGGGAUAACAGGCUGAUACCGCCCAAGAGUUCAUAUCGACGGCGGUGUUUGGCACCUCGAUGUCGGCUCAUCACAUCCUGGGGCUGAAGUAGGUCCCAAGGGUAUGGCUGUUCGCCAUUUAAAGUGGUACGCGAGCUGGGUUUAGAACGUCGUGAGACAGUUCGGUCCCUAUCUGCCGUGGGCGCUGGAGAAUUGAGGGGGGCUGCUCCUAGUACGAGAGGACCGGAGUGGACGCAUCACUGGUGUUCGGGUUGUCAUGCCAAUGGCACUGCCCGGUAGCUAAAUGCGGAAAAGAUAAGUGCUGAAAGCAUCUAAGCACGAAACUUGCCCCGAGAUGAGUUCUCCCUGAGACUUUAAGUCUCCUGAAGGAACGUUGAAGACGACGACGUUGAUAGGUCGGGUGUGUAAGCGCAGCGAUGCGUUGAGCUAACCGAUACUAAUGAACCGUGAGGCUUAACCUUACAACGCCGAAG
rnacentral:rRNA from 1 species